rnacentral:lncRNA from 1 species
GAGAACCACUGAUUUAACUGAAAAAAAAAACAGAAAACAAAAUAAAAUACCUAUAGCAGAGUCUUUCAGAGAAAGUACUCACUCACCCACAUUCACCUAGCAAAUACUGAAGCAGAAAGGAAACAAGAGUUUGAAAACAUCACCUCCCCACCCAAUUUAUCCUUUCUGGCAUUGCCUGAUUUCUGGUUGCUCUAAAUUUUUAGGCUCUGGCCAAAGUUUAUUUCUCUGUUUGCUAUCUUUAGGAAGAAAAAUUUCAUAAGUAAAAAGGUAUGGUCAAGACAAAUUGAGAGCAACUAUAGGAAGAAUCUGUCUUUUAUUUCUAUGGCAGGAAAUGAUAAUAACCUAAAAGGGAGGUUUGCUUAAAUUUUUCUGUCUCCUUAAUUGAAUUUUCUCUUUUGCUUUCACAGUGGGGACCAGGCUUCCAGAUGUUAUUAUUGUAUUUUGCCUUUUGAUGUGAGGGGGAGCUUCAGGCAACCAAGAUUCACAAGAAUAAGAGUCUUCCCUUAUUUACAGGGCAGAUCUAUGCCAAUCAUACAAUCCAAGGCAAAGUUAGGAAUGUGAAAGAAACAAAAAUGUUUUCCAAAGCACAGAAAUGCACGUGAGGUCCAUUCACAGGAUGUGUACAUAGAAGUUACCAAGUGUGAUUAUUGGCUUUCCCUGCCAUACGUUAGGAAAGAAGGGAGAUCACAGAGCGAGUGGCUGCUUGCACCCCGAUGGAAGAAGACAGAACAAAAACAAACGUAAUUAAAAAUGCUAUCUCAAGUCUUCACUAUCUUAGCAGCUGGAGGUUGUCUAAUAUACAGGAUAAACAGCCAUCAACACUUCAUCUGUCCCCAUGAGUAAUAUCACAACCCAACGUAAUGCUGGAUUUUUAUUUAUAAUGACGUCAGAAUCAUCAAAGCAAGGCCAGCAAAAUGCGCAGCGUCACAUAUUCCAUCUCUCAGAAGGAACUCUCAGACUCCUGGGGACGAGUGCACAGCGUGACUUGACUUCAUUCGUGAAGCUCUCAUGUCCCUCCAAGUCCCCACGGCCCAGGUUUCCUUCGAUUCUGCGAAGUCCGUCUCUCCAGGGGCACAGCCAGAAGAGCAGGAGCCCUUUGACUUGCAGGUGCCUGGCAGUCAGUGACAUCACAGCGUGAAGCCUCUCCCCAGCAGAAACCAGCCAUGGCCAAGUCACUUCCUGGCCCCCAAGAAGCUUCGAGGCCACCUUCCAUCAGAGGAAUAUCAGAAGCGGCACAUCCUGAGGGCCUCCGCACCAGGCUCAGGAGCAGUUGGGUCUUCCCUUCCCGCCCACGGCGGUGAGCUCGGGCACCCCUCGGAGGUCAGGCUCCGCGGCCUCCUCCCAGGAGGGCGCACCCCCAGCCCUCCUUCAAGGAAGGACGAGCACCUGCUGGCGCCUGCGGCUGCUCUACCCCAACCUCACG